UACGAAGGGGGCUAGCGUUGCUCGGAAUCACUGGGCGUAAAGGGUGCGUAGGCGGGUCUUUAAGUCAGGGGUGAAAUCCUGGAGCUCAACUCCAGAACUGCCUUUGAUACUGAAGAUCUUGAGUUCGGGAGAGGUGAGUGGAACUGCGAGUGUAGAGGUGAAAUUCGUAGAUAUCGGGAGGAACACCAGUGGCGAAGGCGGCUCUCUGGACAGGUACUGACGCUGAGACGCGAAAGCGUGGGUAGCAAACAGG
rnacentral:rRNA from 1 species